AUUGAACGCUGGCGGCAGGCCUAACACAUGCAAGUCGAACGAGUGGCGGACGGGUGAGUAAUGUCUGGGAAACUGCCUGAUGGAGGGGGAUAACUACUGGAAACGGUAGCUAAUACCGCAUACCAUCGGAUGUGCCCAGCUGGGCUUAGCUAGUCGGGGGGGUAAAGGCUCACCUAGGCGACGAUCCCUCGCUGGUCUGAGAGGAUGACUAGCAAAACUGGAACUGAGAAACGGUCCAGACGCCUACGGGAGGCAGCAGUGGGGAAUAUUGCACAAUGGGCGAAAGCCUGAUGCAGCCAUGCCGCGUGUAGGAAGAAGGCCUUCGGGUUGAAAAGUACUUUCAGCGGGGAGGCGUGACCCGCAGAAGAAGCACCGGCUAACUCCGUGCCAGCAGCCGCGGUAAUUC
rnacentral:rRNA from 1 species